AACGAACGCUGGCGGCAUGCCUAACACAUGCAAGUCGAACGAGACCUUCGGGUCUAGUGGCGCACGGGUGCGUAACGCGUGGGAACCUGCCCUUAGGUUCGGAAUAACUCCCCGAAAGGGGUGCUAAUACCGGAUAAUGUCUUCGGACCAAAGAUUUAUCGACUUUGGAUGGGCCCGCGUUGGAUUAGCUAGUUGGUAGGGUAAAAGCCUACCAAGGCGACGAUUCAUAGCUGGUCUGAGAGGAUGAUCAGCCACACUGGGACUGAGACACGGCCCAGACUCCUACGGGAGGCAGCAGUGGGGAAUAUUGGACAAUGGGCGAAAGCCUGAUCCAGCAAUGCCGCGUGAGUGAUGAAGGCCUUAGGGUUGUAAAGCUCUUUUACCCGGGAUGAUAAUGACAGUACCGGGAGAAUAAGCUCCGGCUAACUCCGUG
rnacentral:rRNA from 1 species